UACGUAGGGUGCGAGCGUUAAUCGGAAUUACUGGGCGUAAAGCGCACGUAGGCGGCUUUCUAAGUCAGGGGUGAAAUCCUGGAGCUCAACUCCAGAACUGCCUUCGAUACUGGCGAUCUUGAGUCUGGAAGAGGUGAGUGGAACUCCUAGUGUAGAGGUGGAAUUCGUAGAUAUUAGGAAGAACACCAGUGGCGAAGGCGGCUCACUGGUCCGGUACUGACGCUGAGGUGCGAAAGCGUGGGGAGCGAACAGG
rnacentral:rRNA from 1 species